UACGAUUAAAAAAAUCUAAUUUAAUAGAUUAGAGAACCUCAUAUUAAUUUUUAUUUUAAAAAAAGGACAAGGGAAAAUUUGAAGGAAGAAAAAUUUACAAAACCCAAACUUGUUGCUCUAAAUAAAUUAAAAAAUAAGAGAGAAAAAACAAAGAAACAACAAUGAAGAGAAGCCAGAUGCGUGGGAACUAAAAUCUCCCAGCCAUAUGCAUGUGAAUUGAAAUUGAAUUUGAAUGGUGAUGGGGUAUUGUCUUUGUCCCCAACGUUGAUGGUCAAGCUUUGGCCUGAAAUUUUGUUGUACCACGUGAAAGUGAUGAGGAGCUGCUUCUGGGUGAGAGUUUGGCUCUGUCUACCCACUUUCCCUUUCUCUGUCUCUACAAUUCUCACCAAGCAAGAGACCCUCAAAGAAGAAU
rnacentral:lncRNA from 1 species